UACAGAGGUCCCAAGCGUUGUUCGGAUUGACUGGGCGUAAAGGGCGCGUAGGCGGUUCGUACAGUCAGACGUGAAAUUCCUGGGCUCAACCUGGGGGCUGCGUUUGAUACGUGCGGACUUGAGUGCGGAAGAGGGUCGUGGAAUUCCCAGUGUAGCGGUGAAAUGCGUAGAUAUUGGGAGGAACACCAGUGGCGAAGGCGGCUACCUGGACCGGUUCUGACGCUGAUGCGCGAAAGCGUGGGUAGCAAACAGG
rnacentral:rRNA from 1 species